rnacentral:misc_RNA from 1 species
AUUUCUUCUAGUUCCUUCCG